AACGAACGCUGGCGGCAUGCUUAACACAUGCAAGUCGAACGAAGAGCGAUGGAAGCUUGCUUCUCUCAAUCUUAGUGGCGAGCGGGUGAGUAACGCGUAAUCAACCUGCCCUUCAGAGGGGGACAACAGUCGGAAACGACUGCUAAUCCCACAUACGAUCUAAUCUCGGCAUCGAGGCUAGAUGAAAGGUGGCUUCUACAUGUAAGCUCUACCUGAAGGAGGGGCUUGAGCUUGAUUGGCUGGUUGGGGGGCUAACUGGGCACCAAGGCGAGGCUCAGUAGCCGCUCUGCGAGGAGGAACUGCAACGCUGGUACUGAGACACGGCCCAGACUCCUACGGGUGACAGCAGUGGCGAAUCUUCCGCAAUGGACGAAAGGCUGACGGAUCAACGCCGCGCGAGAGACGACGGCCGUCGGGUUGUAAAGCUCUGUUAAUCGUUACGAAAGGCCUUCUUGCGAAUAGUGAGAAGGAUUGACGGUACCGGAAGAGAAAGCCACGGCUAACUACGUG
rnacentral:rRNA from 1 species